ACGCUGGCGGCGUGCCUAAUACAUGCAAGUAGAACGCUGAAGGAGGAGCUUGCUUCUCCGGAUGAGUUGCGAACGGGUGAGUAACGCGUAGGUAACCUGCCUGGUAGCGGGGGAUAACUAUUGGAAACGAUAGCUAAUACCGCAUAAGAGUAGAUGUCGCAUGACAUUUGCUUAAAAGGUGCAAUUGCAUCACUACCAGAUGGACCUGCGUUGUAUUAGCUAGUUGGUGGGGUAACGGCUCACCAAGGCGACGAUACAUAGCCGACCUGAGAGGGUGAUCGGCCACACUGGGACUGAGACACGGCCCAGACUCCUACGGGAGGCAGCAGUAGGGAAUCUUCGGCAAUGGACGGAAGUCUGACCGAGCAACGCCGCGUGAGUGAAGAAGGUUUUCGGAUCGUAAAGCUCUGUUGUAAGAGAAGAACGAGUGUGAGAGUGGAAAGUUCACACUGUGACGGUAUCUUACCAGAAAGGGACGGCUAACUACGUGCCAGCAGCCGCGGUAAUACGUAGGUCCCGAGCGUUGUCCGGAUUUAUUGGGCGUAAAGCGAGCGCAGGCGGUUAGAUAAGUCUGAAGUUAAAGGCUGUGGCUUAACCAUAGUACGCUUUGGAAACUGUUUAACUUGAGUGCAAGAGGGGAGAGUGGAAUUCCAUGUGUAGCGGUGAAAUGCGUAGAUAUAUGGAGGAACACCGGUGGCGAAAGCGGCUCUCUGGCUUGUAACUGACGCUGAGGCUCGAAAGCGUGGGGAGCAAACAGGAUUAGAUACCCCUGGUAGUCCACGCCGUAAACGAUGAGUGCUAGGUGUUAGACCCUUUCCGGGGUUUAGUGCCGCAGCUAACGCAUUAAGCACUCCGCCUGGGGAGUACGACCGCAAGGUUGAAACUCAAAGGAAUUGACG
rnacentral:rRNA from 1 species